rnacentral:siRNA from 1 species
UUGAGAUGGAUCAUACUUC